rnacentral:rRNA from 1 species
UGUGAACUCGAAGAGUAGGGCGGGACACGUGGUAUCCUGUCUGAAUAUGGGGGGACCAUCCUCCAAGGCUAAAUACUCCUGACUGACCGAUAGUGAACCAGUACCGUGAGGGAAAGGCGAAAAGAACCCCGGCGAGGGGAGUGAAAAAGAACCUGAAACCGUGUACGUACAAGCAGUGGGAGCACCUUCGGGUGUGACUGCGUACCUUUUGUAUAAUGGGUCAGCGACUUAUAUUCUGUAGCAAGGUUAACCGUAUAGGGGAGCCGCAGGGAAACCGAGUCUUAACUGGGCGUUAAGUUGCAGGGUAUAGACCCGAAACCCGGUGAUCUAGCCAUGGGCAGGUUGAAGGUUGGGUAACACUAACUGGAGGACCGAACCGACUAAUGUUGAAAAAUUAGCGGAUGACUUGUGGCUGGGGGUGAAAGGCCAAUCAAACCGGGAGAUAGCUGGUUCUCCCCGAAAGCUAUUUAGGUAGCGCCUCGUGAACUCAUCUUCGGGGGUAGAGCACUGUUUCGGCUAGGGGGUCAUCCCGACUUACCAACCCGAUGCAAACUACGAAUACCGAAGAAUGUUAUCACGGGAGACACACGGCGGGUGCUAACGUCCGUCGUGAAGAGGGAAACAACCCAGACCGCCAGCUAAGGUCCCAAAGUCAUGGUUAAGUGGGAAACGAUGUGGGAAGGCACAGACAGCCAGGAUGUUGGCUUAGAAGCAGCCAUCAUUUAAAGAAAGCGUAAUAGCUCACUGGUCGAGUCGGCCUGCGCGGAAGAUGUAACGGGGCUAAACCAUGCACCGAAGCUGCGGCAGCGACACUAUGUGUUGUUGGGUAGGGGAGCGUUCUGUAAGCCUGCGAAGGUGUGCUGUGAGGCAUGCUGGAGGUAUCAGAAGUGCGAAUGCUGACAUAAGUAACGAUAAAGCGGGUGAAAAGCCCGCUCGCCGGAAGACCAAGGGUUCCUGUCCAACGUUAAUCGGGGCAGGGUGAGUCGACCCCUAAGGCGAGGCCGAAAGGCGUAGUCGAUGGGAAACAGGUUAAUAUUCCUGUACUUGGUGUUACUGCGAAGGGGGGACGGAGAAGGCUAUGUUAGCCGGGCGACGGUUGUCCCGGUUUAAGCAUGUAGGCUGGUNNNNNNNNNNNNNNNNNNNNNNNNNNNNNNNNNNNNNNNNNNNNNNNNNNNNNNNNNNNNNNNNNNNNNNNNNNNNNNNNNNNNNNNNNNNNNNNNNAUCCAGGCAAAUCCGGAUAAUCAAGGCUGAGGUGUGAUGACGAGGCACUACGGUGCUGAAGUAACAAAUGCCCUGCUUCCAGGAAAAGCCUCUAAGCAUCAGGUAACAUCAAAUCGUACCCCAAACCGACACAGGUGGUCAGGUAGAGAAUACCAAGGCGCUUGAGAGAACUCGGGUGAAGGAACUAGGCAAAAUGGUGCCGUAACUUCGGGAGAAGGCACGCUGGUGUGUAGGUGAAGUCCCUGCGGAUGGAGCUGAGACCAGUCGAAGAUACCAGCUGGCUGCAACUGUUUAUUAAAAACACAGCACUGUGCAAACACGAAAGUGGACGUAUACGGUGUGACGCCUGCCCGGUGCCGGAAGGUUAAUUGAUGGGGUUAUCCGUAAGGAGAAGCUCUUGAUCGAAGCCCCGGUAAACGGCGGCCGUAACUAUAACGGUCCUAAGGUAGCGAAAUUCCUUGUCGGGUAAGUUCCGACCUGCACGAAUGGCGUAAUGAUGGCCAGGCUGUCUCCACCCGAGACUCAGUGAAAUUGAACUCGCUGUGAAGAUGCAGUGUACCCGCGGCAAGACGGAAAGACCCCGUGAACCUUUACUAUAGCUUGACACUGAACAUUGAGCCUUGAUGUGUAGGAUAGGUGGGAGGCUUUGAAGCGUGGACGCCAGUCUGCGUGGAGCCAACCUUGAAAUACCACCCUUUAAUGUUUGAUGUUCUAACGUUGGCCCCUGACCGGGGUUGCGGACAGUGUCUGGUGGGUAGUUUGACUGGGGCGGUCUCCUCCCAAAGCGUAACGGAGGAGCACGAAGGUUAGCUAAUCCUGGUCGGACAUCAGGAGGUUAGUGCAAUGGCAUAAGCUAGCUUGACUGCGAGCGUGACGGCGCGAGCAGGUGCGAAAGCAGGUCAUAGUGAUCCGGUGGUUCUGAAUGGAAGGGCCAUCGCUCAACGGAUAAAAGGUACUCCGGGGAUAACAGGCUGAUACCGCCCAAGAGUUCAUAUCGACGGCGGUGUUUGGCACCUCGAUGUCGGCUCAUCACAUCCUGGGGCUGAAGUAGGUCCCAAGGGUAUGGCUGUUCGCCAUUUAAAGUGGUACGCGAGCUGGGUUUAGAACGUCGUGAGACAGUUCGGUCCCUAUCUGCCGUGGGCGCUGGAGAAUUGAGGGGGGCUGCUCCUAGUACGAGAGGACCGGAGUGGACGCAUCACUGGUGUUCGGGUUGUCAUGCCAAUGGCACUGCCCGGUAGCUAAAUGCGGAAGAGAUAAGUGCUGAAAGCAUCUAAGCACGAAACUUGCCCCGAGAUGAGUUCUCCCUGAGACU